ensembl:snRNA U6 U6 spliceosomal RNA
GUGCUUUGGCGUCACACAUACCGAAAUUGGAAUGAUAGAGAGAAGAUUAACAUGGACUCUGUGCAAGGCUGACACAUAAAUCUGUGAAGUAUUCCAUAUUUUU